UACCUGCAGCUCGAGUGGUAACCGCUAUUAUUGGGCCUAAAGCGUCCGUAGCCGGUUUGGUAAAUAUCUGGGUAAAUCGUGAGGCUUAACUUCACGAAUUUCGGAUAGACUGCCAGACUUGGGAUCGGGGGAGGUCAGAGGUACUCCAGGGGUAGCGGUGAAAUGUUGUAAUCCUUGGAGGACCACCGGUAGUGAAGGCGUCUGACUAGAACGAGUCCGACGGUGAGGGACGAAGCCCUGGGGCGCAAACCGGAUUAGAUACCCGGGUAGUCCAGGGUGUAAACAAUGUGGGCUUUGUAUUGGAGGUCCCACGUGGGCGUCCAGUGCAGAAGAGAAGUUGUUAAGCCCACCGCCUGGGAAGUACGGUCGCAGGGCUGAAACUUAAAGGAAUUGGCGGGGGAGCACCACAAGGCGUGAAGCUUGCGGUUC
rnacentral:rRNA from 1 species